GACGAACGCUGGCGGCGUGCUUAACACAUGCAAGUCGAACGGAAAGGCCCUGCUUUUGUGGGGUGCUCGAGUGGCGAACGGGUGAGUAACACGUGAGUAACCUGCCCUUGACUUUGGGAUAACUUCAGGAAACUGGGGCUAAUACCGGAUAGGAGCCCCUGCUGCAUGGUGGGGGUUGGAAAGUUUCGGCGGUUGGGGAUGGACUCGCGGCUUAUCAGCUUGUUGGUGGGGUAGUGGCUUACCAAGGCUUUGACGGGUAGCCGGCCUGCGAGGGUGACCGGCCACAUUGGGACGGAGAUGCGGCCCAGACUCCUACGGGAGGCAGCAGUGGGGAAUAUUGCACAAUGGGCGGAAGCCUGAUGCAGCAACGCCGCGUGCGGGAUGACGGCCUUCGGGUUGUAAACCGCUUUCGCCUGUGACGAAGCGUGAGUGACGGUAAUGGGUAAAGAAGCACCGGCUAACUACGUG
rnacentral:rRNA from 1 species